rnacentral:lncRNA from 1 species
AUGGAAGGUGACAUUCAAGUUGGGCAUGGUAGAUCUCCUUUUUUUUUGUUUUCAAUCAGAGAGGAGGGUUUGAUCAGCUCUGUUGGCAGAGUCUCGCCCUCACCUUCUCUCCUCCCAGGUGGCCAGUGCCCAGAUGCUAGCCUCAGUGUUCAUCUGUGCUGCCACAGGAACCACACAGAGGACUGGUACAGUGCCCAGUGUGAGCACCGAACCUGCAGCAGUAACCCUGCCCUGCCAGUCAGGGAGCCCCGCGCCUGUGGAGCUGCCCACAGCACCUGCCCAGACCCUCCAUGCGCCCAGUUAAAAUCUGCAUUUGAGACAGAGAGUUCUACGCAAGAAGCUGAAAUGCCCAGUGAUUUCUGGCUCCUCUCCCCAUUUCCUGAGCCUUCCUGCCUCUCUGCCUGAUUCAAAUGAUAGGCUGUUCAGAGGGACCCCUUAACCGAAGGCGUUCCUCAAGCAGAGGCAUCUAGGGG